ACAUGUUGGGAAGAAUCGGCAGAAUUAAAAAAAAACAGUAGAAAUUUGCAUUUCAUUUUUUCCAAUUCCCCAGAAAUUAGGGUCGGUGGAUCCGUAAACCAAGAAAUAAAAAAACUGUGGCCUUAAUUAGCAUACAUGUAAAUGCUAUAUAGCAUAUAUGUGAAUGCUAUAUAGUGUAUAUGUGAAUGCUAUAUAGUGUAUGUGAAUGCUAUAUUAUAAGCUUAUAUGUGAAUGCUAUAUAAUAGUGUAUGUGAAUGCUAUAUAGCUUAUAUGUGAAUGCUCAGGGCUCGAAAUUAGCGAGAAAUACUCGCAAAUUGUGAGUAGAUUUGAAAAAUAGCGAGUAAAAAUAGUGGACACUCGCAAAUCUUAGCGAGUGGGGAUUUACAAACCAUGAUCGUAUCGUAUCCGUUUUAAGCCGCGAUGCGCCAUUCGCUUUUCUUAAACUUGCACUCAAAAUCAUACAAACGCUUACAGGAACGACGGAUUUCAACAAUCGUUUCUAUCCGGAUUUUCUUUUAUGAUUUUUUAAGAAACUCGGCGUCAAACAAAUGCUUAAGAGGUCGGACAUCGCAUUAUAAUGAAAAAUAUAGACCUGUUUACUUAUAGGGGUGAUUAAAUUGACUUGGUAAAACAUAAAUUCCGAUUUCUUGUUAGAUAAAUGAAUAACAAAAAGCUCAUACUUGGAAUUCAAGUCUUCCGGUAGUUAAUUUAAUCAGAAUUUUCUAUCUACAUUAAUUCAUUUUCAUACUAAGGUCGGGUUGUAGUCACGGCACGAGUGCACUACUCACCGUGUAGGCGAUUUCCCAAAACAAAAACAAACAAAAAAAUCAUGGGACUCGUGAUCGUGCGCAGCUUAUAAACCACGAGUCUGGGAUUCACUUUGAAAAAUUACUCGUUACAACCCUGACGUGGCAUGAAACUGGAAGACAUUGGAUCUAUACCUGCAGUAAACAGGUUGUGAAUAUUAGAGGUGCGAUGGUCAAGAGACCUAAACAUUGCAUCAUAUGACUUACGUAAAUUAGUGUUUUGUCCAAACGAUGCCUGUUGACCCACUAGGCUCAGUAAUGGUGGGGAAAAUCAUUGAUUUAAAAAAAAAAUAUGAAAAAAGAGCACUGCUUCCUAUUUUUAUUUUAGCUUGUAGGUUUUCAUUUUAGCCUGUGGAUCUUUACCCACAGGCUAAAAUUAGCCUGUGGAAGAAAAAGUUAAUUUCGACCCCUGAUGCUAUAUAGUGUAUAUGUGAAUGCUAUAUAGUGUAUAUAUGUGAAUGCUAUAUAAUGUAUAUGUGAAUGCUAUAUAGUGUAUGUGAAUGCUAUAUAGUGUAUAUAUGUGAAUGCUAUAUAGCUUAUAUGUGAAUGCUAUAUAGUGUAUAUAUGUGAAUGCUAUAUAGCUUAUAUGUGAAUGCUAUAUAGUGUAUGUGAAUGCUAUAUAGUGUAUGUGAAUGCUAUAUAGUGUAUAUGUGAAUGCUAUAUAUAGUGUAUAUGUGAAUGCUAUAUAGUGUAUGUGAAUGCCAUAUAGUGUAUAUAUGUGAAUGCUAUAUAGUGUAUAUAUGUGAAUGCUAUAUAGUGUAUAUGUGAAUGCUAUAUAGUGUAUAUGAAUGCUACAUAGUGUAUGUGAAUGCUAUAUAGCGUAUAUGUGAAUGCCAUAUAGCAUAUAUCAGGUAAUUCUGGCAAGCUGGAAAUGUUUACUUUUCUGGUGGAUGAUAAAAAUUCACCAGAAAUGAAAGUGCAUGCCAACAUUUCCAUCCAUAUAAAGGAUACACUUGUUAAAGAAGUUAUCUCCUGAGCUUUUGAGCACAACUGCACAGGAUGCUACAACUAAGUAUUUACUGGUUCAAUACUGAUCCCAUUUGUGAAAACAUCACACAUCUAUUACUGAACCCUAUGCCGUUGAAAAAAAUUGUGUCAAUUCAAAUAUUGAAAGGGUUUUGCAGGGACUAUAUUUUGUGGCAGAAGGACUGAUUAAUCAAAGAGUUCUAAAUCUAGCUGCGCGAUAUUACAGUUUCUGUUUCAUCCAAUUAUAUCUUCUAUUUUUAUACUCCUAUACGUGUAGUUUAGUUUUAUAAUUUAUGAUACAAGUAGUUGAUUGAGACUUGGAACUAGUUCAAAUAUUGUAAUUUAUUAAUUUGCAAAUCUGGAUACCAAACUUGGACAUUUAGAUAUUCACCAGAGAGAACAAGUUCAAUGUCUCAUGGCUAAUUAUCUUUCAAUCUUCUCGGAUGUUCUACAAAAGACCAAAGCUGCUUGUCAUGAUGUUAUAGUUGGUGAUGCUUUGCCCAUCAAGCAGCAUCCCUGUCAUUUAAAAUCCAUUGAAAUUGCAGUACUUAAGAACAGAAGUGCAGUACAUGCUCGACAAUGACAUUAAUGAACCAAGUAAAAGUGACUUAACAUGGAGCUCACCUUGUAUUCUCGUACCGAAACCUGAUGGCACCUACCGAUUAUGUACCGACUUUAGAAAAGUGAAUUCUGUCACGAAAACAUAUCCUUAUCCGAUUCCUAGAAUUGAUGACUGUAUUGACAAAAUCAGAAAUGCAAAAUUUGUCAGUAAAUUUGACCUGUUGAAAGGUUACUGGCAAGUGCCAUUGACUGAGACUGAGCCAAAGAAAUCUCUGCAUUUGUGACUCCUGAUGGUCUCUUUCAAUACAAAGUGAUGCCGUUUGGUAUGAAAAAUGUUCCAGCUAUCUUUCAGUGGAUGAUUCAUUCCCUUCUUCAUGACCUUCAAGGAUGUGAAGCCUGCAUUGAUGAUGCUAUCAUCUACAGUGACACAUGGGAGGAGCAUCUCCAAAUCACACGUGCAUUCUUUGACAUUCUGGCAAGAGCAAACUUAACAGUGAACCUCGCAAAGAGUGACUUUUGUCGUGCUACUGUAGAAUAUUUAGGUCAUAAAGUAGGUCAAAGUUAUAUUAUACCUAUUAUGGCUAAAGUGGAGGUUAUUGCAAAGUUCCCAAUUCCUACAAACAAGAAAGAGUUGAUGAGAUUUUUGGGCAUGACAGGUUUUUACAGAAAAUUUUGUCCAAUUUUUUCUUCAGCAGUUGGUCCACUUACCAACUUAUUGCAAAAGAGGGUUAAAUUUGUAUGGACAAAAGACUGCAACGGAUCAUUUUGUAAAAUUAAAUCUGUUCUCAUGAGUAUAGUAAAGUUCUUUUAGCUCUGGAUUUUUCUAAGCAAUUUAAGCUUAUUGUAGAUGCUAGUGAUGUAGGAAUCGGUGCUGCUUUGUUUCAAGAACAUAGUGACAAUGUAGAUAGUUUCAAAGAAACUUACAAAAUGUCAACAGAAUUAUUCAACCAUUGAAAAAGAAAGAGUGUCUUGCUUUGUUAUUAGUUUUGGAACAUUUUGAUGUUUAUUUGAAUGUUACUGUACAGCCAAUUAUUGUUUUUACGGAUCACAACCCUCUCACUUUUUUGCAUAAAAUAUCAAACAAGAAUCAAAGACUCACAAGAUGGAGUUUAUUAUUGCAAGAGUAUGAUAUUGAUAUCAAACAUAUCAAAGGCAGAGACAAUGUUUUCUCACAUUAUCACCAGUUAGAGAUUGACUUUACCUAUGUGAAACAGCCAUGUAAAGAUUUUUCUGUCUCACUCUGCUGUGACAUCAUUUGAUUGUGAAGUCAUAUAUUUUCCAUGAUUUACGUUACACAGUGAAGAUUUACGUUACACGGUGAAGUAAAAAUAUUUUGCAUUAUCUUUAAAGGACACAUCGCAUGUUUUUAAACUUUUUUAUUUUUUCAGCAAAAUUAAUUCAUUUCAUGCCUAAAACUACUUUACAUGUAUUUUAAAUGAAACAGUUUGCGUAGUUUUCGAGUUUGAAAGCGAUGAAAUUCAAAUCUUGCGAUAUGCAUAUUUUUUUCGAUAUUUUACGCGCCAUUAUCUGUGACGUCAUAUGCGACCUCGAGCGAGAAGAUUUGAAAACAGUUGAAAACCAUUUCAUAAACAGAUUAGAUUUAAUUGACAAACAAACAAUUAUCACAUUAACAGCUUGUAAAUAACACUGCAUUAGGAUGUUUUGUGCCGUUUAAGGGUGUACUUGCUGUCAGUAGAGAGGAUUUGGACUGUGUUUUUUUUUUCAAUUUUCGAAGGAAGGUAUGAGGGACAAGAUGUGAAUAUAUUUUGUCGGCACAACGACUUUGUCAUAAAAACCCCCAAUAGAAUUUGUCCCUGUACUUUUUCAAACAAGCACUUGGACAAAUACGUAGAUAAACUGCGAGAAAAUGGUUCUAUCGAAGCUACGCACUGUUACAUAUAGGCCUACGGCAUAUGCUUUCCGUUCUGCUCUCGAAUUCAAUGCACACUCGCACCAACUGACCUUCACCUUGUAACAACAUAUAGGCAGAACUUUGCUUGCAGUGUCUACCAACUGGUAGUUUUAAAAAAGAGAAAUUUAAAGAUAAAAGAUAAUUGAACUUUCAAUUAUAAAUAAUAAAAUAUAAUAUUUCCCGACUUUGAAUUGAAUUAUAAUGCUUUCAUUUUUUUUAAGGAACGCGUACGUGUUUACAACAACAGCACGCCGCGCUCCCACUUCCUAAGUAACAACGUGUUGAUAACAAAAAAUAAUGAUUAGGCCUAAUAAAAUUGCUUUAAUAAAAUAAUUUAAAAGUAUUGUGAUUUUCAAAUUACGUUUGAUCAUUAUUAUUGUUUUUUUUUUUCGAAAUGCACCCGUGGCAGUAGGCCUAGUUGUCAAUGAUACAUAAUCGUAUCAUAAUUUAGGCCUAUCUAACUUCUCCAAAAAUAAAUUUAAUAAUAAUUGCACUGUUUAUUUCAGAAAAGCAACAACGCUAAUUACAGUUGUUUACAGAAAUGGCAUUAGCAAAUUGUGUUUAGACAGUGAUCCCAUGUAAACAUUAUUUACUCGCAAAUUUAUGCAGAUUUCAUACUGUCUCGCUUUUCUCGCUACAUUUGGGUCGCUAUUUGUAUGCACUGGUGGCUAAAAGAUAUAAGACUCGGGAAAUUUGUCAACAUCGAAAUAAAUGUUAUCCAUGGUAAAUAAAUUAGGCCCCUAAAACCCGAGUUUUUAAAAAUAUCUAACACUACUUUUACAACAAGUUGAUCGACGAAGGUCGCAUAUGACGUCACUGUACCACGUGACUACCUAUCUAAUUAACUAGGCUUUUUGAAAUCGGGGCUUAGAUUUAAGUUCAUAUUGUGGCUAAUUAUCGCAAUACUUCAGCGAACGAACUAUUACAAUUAAUUUCUAUAAGCAUAAGGAAGACAAAAUGCAUAUAAUUCUGUAUACUUUGAAAACACGAGAUGUGUCCUUUAAAUUUUGAUGUAUAUAGGUGGACAACCUUGGUUUUUUAGUUUACACUUACAGUGUACAAACCAUUUUCAGGUACCGUAUUUUGUCGAAUAUAAUACGCACUUUUUUUUAGAGAAUAUUUUUGUGCCAGAAAGGGGUGCGUAUUAUAUACCACAAUAGGUUUUUGACCUUUUUUUCCAGAUGAAACUCGGCGAUUAAGUAGUGUAAUAUUUCACUCAAAGACCAAGGCUUCGGAUACUGUACGCCUUUUCACAUUCACCUAUUUAUUAACUAGAAAAUUCGACCUCAAGAAAAUUACUACAGAAACGUAAAAUUGCAGAAAAUGUGAUAUAUAUAUUUACAAUAUCUAAAUAAUUCAAUUAUCAUGAAACAAACAGCCAAUCAAAUUGCAUUGGAUCUGACUAUUCAUUACAUCGCAUGCCGCCAUUAUUGAAAGCAUGUGUACAUAAUAAUGCCUUGACACGUGCUAAAAUUGUUGGAAAAUAAUUUUGUCACUUGCUAAAAGUUUGUUUACUGUAAGUUUUAUGAAUAGGCCUAAUUUUUAAUGAAAUACUUAUUUGAAUCUUUUAAAUAACUAUUCUUGCGUAAAAGCGUGUGUUUUACGAAGCCAUUGUUGUGUACACUGCUUUUGUUAGAUACCCCCUCCGGGUAAAGAAAUACCUAACAAAAUUUUUUUUCACACAUUUUAAUAGUCAUCGUAGUUAACGAGGAGUUGAUAAUUUGCAUCUUUGUACCUACCAUGGUGUGUUGAUUACAGUAAAAUAAGCGAUAGUUUAAUUGUUUAAUUUUAUUUUUAUAACAUCGGCUAUUUGAUUGAUUUUAAGUUUCAACAAAGGAAAUAUCGAGUCAGUUAAGACUUUAAUGCUACAAAAUCUCGUGCUUUGCUGAAAUGAACAGGCUUGUCCGGGUUGAUAUUUCCCUGAAGAUUCUCAUUGAAGAUUACCGCGAUGUAGACUUCAUCUCAAAAAGUUUGCAAAUUAUUGUGCGUUGUUUAGAAUUCAUUAUUUCUGCAAAAAUAUUAAGUGAAAAUUAACACCAAGUAUAAAAUAAAGAUUACCGCUUGGUCAAAAUUUUUGCUGCGUAUUAUACACCCGAAGUGCGUUUUUUCACCAACUUUUAGGCUCAAAGUGGGGGGUGCGUAUUAAACACCACUGCGUAUUAUAUUCGGCAAAAUACGGUAUGCUCUUUCUGCCUAUCUAUUUAGUUUUUGCAUCGAAGUUCAAAUGAGGAUUUUGAUAAUUUAGAAUUUUCUCAAAGCUCCUAAAUCUAUGCACUAAACUGUAGGUAAAACAUGAGAAAAAUAAUCCUUCAUUAUUUACUCACGUGGGAUAGGGAAAUUCCACCUCUGGAACAAGAUUCGCUGUCUAGAACUUGGCAAAGCCUCGUCCUAGAUGGUCCUAAGACUGCGAAUCUUGUCCCCUCGGUGGAAUUUCCCUAUCCCACACUGGUACUAAUGAAGGAUUCUAUUAAUAGUAGAUGCCUUGUCAAGAGUGUCUUGAGUAUGUUUUGUUAUUCUGUUGUUGGUUUGAUUGAUGUGCAUUGUAUAUUUGAGUUUCCAUUAUCAUUCAAACUUUUUUAAGGGGAGGUGUUGUGUAUUGCUAUUUGACUUAGAUAGUUCUAGAAAGUGAGGUUUAUUUCAUUGACACCUGUGACCGAGCUUGUUCUAGACUAAGCUAUUUUUAGUAGAAAGAUUACAUAAUGGUUGCAUCAUUGUCUUUCAAGAGUGUACAAGAAAAUUCAUUCCUAUUAUUUAUACACUGAAAUUCUUGGGAUAAAAAAAGCUCUGGUUAGACACUUUACAUGCUUUUUGGAUUAUUAUACUGGGAAUUACGAUUUUGGAUUAAUAUUUUUGCGUGUGUAGAUUCUGUUUAGAUUUAUUAUUCAACUACCGUAUUAGAGUUUUUGCUAUUAUAAUUUUCUUUCAAUUAGUAAUUGUAAAUAAAUCUUAAAUUGCCUUUAGUUAGUAAAUUCUGCUGCACUAUAUCAAGGGUUUGUUCUGACCCAUAACAGUACAUCUACACAGCGUGUCCUUAUCAACUACAAACUCUCAUGAAAUUCUGUUGAGCGGUCUCAGAGGAGUUGUGCUGACAAGAACAGGACAGAUGGGCUUGAAAUUCUAAGUUCAAAAGGGGCAUAAUUCCCAGAAAAAUUAUUGAAUCAAAAUUAUCUGGGGAUAUGCACAUCUACAGAGUGUUUCCUUAUCAACUACAAAGUUUCAUGAAAUUCUGUUGAGCGGUCUCAGAGGAGUUGUGCUGACAAGAACAGGACAGACGGGCUCGAAAUUAUAUGUUCAAAAGGGGCAUAACUCCUAGAAAAAUGAUUGAAUAAGAAUUCCCUGGGAAUAUGCAUAUCUACAGAGUGUUUCCUUAUCAACUACAAAGUUUCACGAAAAUCUGUUGAGCGGUCUCAGAGAAGUUGCGCUGACAAGAAAGAGACUGAUGAACUGACAGACUGACGAACGGGUCAAAAACACUCCACAACUUUGUUGCUGGGGUAUGAUAAUUUAAAAAAUUCAUCUCUCUCCCGCACUUUUUAAAGUGUCAUUUAAAAUCUUAAGACAAGACCUUGAUAAUUAUGUGAAAUUUUUUAAAUUGACAUUAAUCCUACUAUACGAAAGCCCAUGAGCUCAUUUUCGUAGCUGAAAUUUUUUUUUUUGCAUUAUAACACAAAACUUUCGUGAAUAAACACACAACUUUUGCGAAUUAAUGCGAAACAUUCAUAAAUAAAUGUGUAACUUUCGCAUUUAACGUGUUAUAAUUCAAAACUUUCGCGAAUUAAUGCGUACACUGUAAUUUUUGUGUUAUAUAAUGCAAAAAAUUUAGGGGUGAAACGAUGCAUCGUGAUGUGGCCGAAUCGCGGUGUAGAGGUCUCGAUUCGAUGUUCGAAUUAUUUAAACAAAUUAUACUGUAUAUGCUAUUGAAUGCAAAGUAGAAUUCAUAUUUGUAAUUGAUUAAUACCAGUGUUGCUUAGCUAACAGCAGCUUUUAAUAAGGGGAUAUAAAUUUUCAUACAUUGAAAUCAAGCCUUAAAAUGUCACAGAAUUUCAAAGAACUAUCAACCACUAAAUCUCUGAAUUUGUUAUGUUAUCGAGUAAACUAUGCUUAAUAUACAUUUGCUUUUGAUUCAUUUGAUAUCCUGAAAAAAAAACCAGAAUGUCUCUAGAAAGCACUUGGCGACCUAAGUUAUUCCAAUAAAAGAUGAAUCCACACUUUUCAAGGGUUAUGGAUUAGCAGUAAAUCGUGGUCUCUUGUUUAGAAAAAUGUAAACGAUAAAAGAAGCAAUAAUUUCUUCCACUCUUGGAGAAAUAAAUGACAAAAUCUUUUGAUUUAUUGAAUUACUUUUAUAAGGAGAACUUACAUUUUUUUCCAAAACCCCUUAAAAUUUGUGUCAUUUUAUUAAUUUCACCUAAUUAAAAAUGACAGAAAAUAGUAAAAAUGACUACAUAGGAGACAUAUUUCAAGCCCUAUAAAAUCUGUAAAAUCCAGGAGAUUUUAGGGGGCUUUGCCCCCCCCCCCCCCUAGUCCCCAUCACUGGCAGCUCCCAGACCCCCUGCCUCAUUAAGUUGUGCCCCCCUAACCACAAAUCCUGGAUCCACCCCUGUUAUGUCCCUUUGCUGUCAUCUUUUGGAAAAACCCAUAGAAUUCUCACAGCAACCUUUGUAACUACCUGUUUUAUAAUUUUGUCAUUUGAUUUGCUUUUGGUUUGGUUUCAACAUAUUUUAUUGUCUAGAAAGACCUCUCCAAUGUGACAAUUAAUAACACAAAAUAUGUACAACAGAAUUAAAGGUGAAUAAGAUGAUCAUAAAGCAGUCAAAUUAUAUCAAGAGAUAUUCAGAUACAAAAUUACAAAGUACAGCUAGACAAGUUUUAAAUUAUCGUUUUCUUCAUUGUCAUGAACAAAUUACAUGUAUUUCAUGUUACUGUUUUUGAUAUUGAGCGCAUUCAAUCCAUAAAAUAUUGUUUAUAAGCAAAAUCUAUGCUUUAUAACCUAUAUGGUACACGUGUAUUCGCGAACGUUACACGUUUAUUCACGAAAGAUAUGCAUUUAUAGGGGCUGUAAGUCUCGUUUCUUGUCACUUCUGGUGAAGCAUUUCCGGUGACAAACAAAUCCGAUUCAGUAUUACGAGUAUAGAAUUGGGCCAAUUGCACAUCUGAAAAACCAACGCUUAUGUGUAAAUCAGAGAACGCUGUGUACCACAACCAUUUAUUAUGUCCCAGUUUAACAAGUUGACAUACAUUGUCAAUGCAAUGGUUCAAUUGUCAACGGAGAACAAGUUGUAUAAAGUAGCCAGAAUAUAGUAUUUUCUCCCUCAAGUCCAGCCAUCCUUACUAUCAUCUGAUACAGGGCCAGCUUUUGUGCAAUAUGAAUUAUUGUGUUUCGAUUGUUUGGACUACAGCCGACUGCAUGCAAAAUUAUCCGGAUCAUCAAGGACUCUUAGUGGACAAAGAACAUUGCAAAGUGAUUGAAUUUUAUAUCUGCAACUUGAUUAUUUGGACAACAGCUGACUGUGGAAUUAUCCGGGAUCAUAAAGGACUCUGAAUGGACACAUAACAUGAACAGAAUUAUUCUUUCAAUAUUUUCAUUCCUGAAUGGAUUCAAAAUCAACAUGUAUUGAUAAAAUAUACUUAGUAAAACAAUAACAAUCAGUAGUGCAUUUUUUAUUUAUACUAAACUAUUUGACACA